rnacentral:rRNA from 1 species
GAUUAUGGCUCAGGAUGAACGCUAGCGACAGGCUAACACAUGCAAGUCGAGGGGCAUCACGGGAGUAGCAAUACAACUGGUGGCGACCGGCGCACGGGUGAGUAACGCGUAUGCAACCUACCUAUCAGAGGGGAAUAACCCGGCGAAAGUCGGACUAAUACCGCAUAAAACAGGGGCACCGCAUGGUGAUAUUUGUUAAAGAAAUUCGCUGAUAGAUGGGCAUGCGUUCCAUUAGGUAGUUGGUGAGGUAACGGCUCACCAAGCCGACGAUGGAUAGGGGAACUGAGAGGUUGGUCCCCCACACUGGUACUGAGACACGGACCAGACUCCUACGGGAGGCAGCAGUGAGGAAUACUGGUCAAUGGGCGGGAGCCUGAACCAGCCAAGUCGCGUGAAGGAAGAAGGAUCUAUGGUUCGUAAACUUCUUUUGCAGGGGAAUAAAGUGCAGGACGUGUCCUGUUUUGUAUGUACCCUGAGAAUAAGGAUCGGCUAACUCCGUGCCAGCCGCCGC